rnacentral:lncRNA from 7 species
GCAGGACCUUCCUGCCUUGCUCUUAAUGUGGAGCAUCCUUCAGGCCUAGCAGCACAAGAGGCAACGGGCAGCAGGCUUGGCCUCAAGCUUUACUGCAUGUGUUGUGUUCCAAGAAUCCAUGGCAACGGGUGGCGUGGUCAUCCACCUGCCAGGUGUGACCGUUGAGGCAGUUGUCAGAGCAUCCCUCUGCGUGCUCCUCCAGUCCAAACGGAAAGAGCUUCUCUGAGAGGAGCCCAUGGGGAACAGCAUUGCAAGUGUUGGUGCGGAGCAGGCAGACAUAGCUAUGCACUGCUCUCUCCUGAACCAGCAGGUUUUGCUGCAGGUUUUUGCUGUCCUGUGUGAGAAGGGUUAGCUUAGGUCGAGACAGCGUCCAAAGGAAAGCAAAUGAUGGGCCGUGAUCCCUUCAGCCCAAGAGGGGAGCGUGUCUAUCCAGGCUGCACAGAACACAGCCUUACAAAAUGGACCUCACAG